CCAUUCCGCGUGAGUGAAGAAGGCUUCGGGUUGUAAAGCUCUUUUGUCCGGAACGAAACGGGUGCGGUGAAUAUCCGCGCCUACUGACGGUACCGGAGGAAUAAGCACCGGCUAACUACGUGCCAGCAGCCGCGGUAAUACGUAGGGUGCGAGCGUUAAUCGGAAUUACUGGGCGUAAAGCGUGCGCAGGCGGUUUUGUAAGCCAGAUGUGAAAUCCCCGGGCUUAACCUGGGAAUGGCAUUUGGGACUGCAAGGCUGGAGUGUGGCAGAGGAGACUGGAAUUCCCGGUGUAGCAGUGAAAUGCGUAGAUAUCGGGAGGAAUACCGAUGGCGAAGGCAGGUCUCUGGGCUGACACUGACGCUCAUGCACGAAAGCGUGGGGAGCAAACAGGAUUAGAUACCCUGGUAGUCCACGCCCUAAACGAUGUCGACUGGUUGUUGGGGGUUUGACACUCUCAGUAACGAAGCUAACGCGUGAAGUCGACCGCCUGGGGAGUACGGCCGCAAGGUUA
rnacentral:rRNA from 1 species